rnacentral:rRNA from 1 species
ACGUACGCUGGCGGCACGCCUAACACAUGCAAGUCGAACGAAGUAGCAAUACUUAGUGGCAGACGGGUGAGUAACAUGUGGGUAUCUACCCUUUGGCCUGGAAUAACACGAGGAAACUUGUGCUAAUACCGGAUAAGUCUUUACGGAGAAAGCUUUAUGCACCAUUGGAUUAGCCCGCGUUAGAUUAGAUAGUUGGUAGGGUAAAGGCCUACCAAGGCUACGAUCUUUAGCUGGUCUGAGAGGACGAUCAGCCACAUUGGGACUGAGACACGGCCCAGACAUCUACGGAUGGCAGCAGUGGGGAAUCUUGC